UUACGCUGUUAUCCCUAAGGUAACUUUUUCUUUUGCUCAGAAACUUCUGGGUCCAUUAGACUCAAAUCAUUAUAUUAAUCCCCUGUUAUAAAAGAGGGGAGGUUGCCCCAACCAAACCUAGGUAAAGCUCUAUAGGGUCUUCUUGUCCCACUUACUAAUUAAGGCCUCUUCACCUUAAAAUCAAUUUCGAGUUAAAUAAAGAGAGACAGUCUCUCUGUCGUCUAGCCGUUGAUACUAGCCUGCAAUUAACAGGCGAAUGAUUAUGCUACCUUUGCACAGUCAGUAAUACUGCAGCCGUUUAACUAUUGUCACCG
rnacentral:rRNA from 1 species